AAUGAACGUUGGCGGCGUGGAUUAGGCAUGCAAGUCGCGCGACAAGGAACCUUCGGGUUCUGGAGGAGCGGCAAACGGGGUAGUAAGGCAUCGGAACGUACCCUCUUGUUGGGAAUAGCCGCGGGAAACUGCGAGUAAUGCCCAAUAAUCCCUACGGGGCAAAGGUCCGCCGCAGGAGGAGCGGCCGAUGUGAUACCAGCUAGUUGGUGAGGUAAUGGCUCGCCAAGGCUUAGACGUCUAGGGGGUGUGAGAGCAUGGCCCCCACCCACUGGACGUGAGAUACUGCCCACGACACCUACCGGGUGGGC
rnacentral:rRNA from 1 species